rnacentral:misc_RNA from 1 species
UUAACUAUUGUAUAGUACUCAGAAUAUGCCACUAUGGUUAAACAAGAGUUUGGGUCCUCCGGCGGGCGCCUGGUUCCGGGACGCCGAGGCGCCGGGGCGGUCCCGCCGAAGCAACGUUGGGUAUGUUCACAGGGGUUUGGGAGUUGAUAACUCGGUAAUGAUCCCUCCGCUGGUUCACCAACGGAGA